rnacentral:rRNA from 1 species
UUCAUGAAGCCGGAAUUGCUAGUAAUGGCAGGUCAGCAUACUGCUGUGAAUACGUUCCCGGGCCUUGUACACACCGCCCGUCAUACCAUGAGAGCCGGGGGCGCCUGAAGUCCGGGACCGCGAGGACCGGCCUAGGGCGAAACUGGUAACUGGGGCUAAGUCGUAACAAGGUACC